GAUGAACGCUAGCGGGAGGCCUAACACAUGCAAGCCGAGCGGUAUUGUUUCUUCGGAAAUGAGAGAGCGGCGUACGGGUGCGUAACACGUGUGCAACCUGCCUUUAUCUGGGGGAUAGCCUUUCGAAAGGAAGAUUAAUACUCCAUAACAUAUUGAACGGCAUCGUUUAAUAUUGAAAGCUCCGGCGGAUAGAGAUGGGCAGGUGAAAGAUUAGCUAGUUGGUGAGGUAACGGCUCACCAAGGCGAUGAUCUUUAGGGGGCCUGAGAGGUGAUCCCCCACACUGGUACUGAGACACGGACCAGACUCCUACGGGAGGCAGCAGUGAGGAAUAUUGGUCAAUGGGUGCAAGCCUGAACCAGCCAUCCCGCGUGAAGGACGACUGCCCUAUGGGUUGUAAACUUCUUUUGUAUAGGGAUAAACCUACCCUCGUGAGGGUAGCUGAAGGUACUAUACGAAUAAGCACCGGCUAACUCCGUGCCAGCAGCCGCCGUAACAC
rnacentral:rRNA from 1 species